rnacentral:rRNA from 1 species
GUGCCACCGCGGUAAUACGGAGGAUGCAAGUGUUAUCCGGAAUCACUGGGCGUAAAGCGUCUGUAGGUGGUUUGCUAAGUCCGCUGUUAAAGCUUGAAGCUCAACUUCGAAAAUGCAGUGGAAACUAGUAGACUUGAGUGUGGUAGGGGUAGAGGGAAUUUCCAGUGAAGUGGUGAAAUGCGUAGAUAUUGGAAAGACCACCAAUGGCGAAGGCACUCUACUGGGCCACAACUGACACUGAGAGACGAAAGCUAGGGGAGCAAAUGGG